UACGGAGGGUGCAAACGUUGCUCGGAAUCAUUGGGCGUAAAGCGCACGUAGGCGGCCCAGCCAGUCGGGUGUGAAAGCCCUCGGCUUAACCGAGGAAGUGCAUUCGAAACUACUGGGCUUGAGUACUGAAGAGGAUCGCGGAAUUCCCGGUGUAGAGGUGAAAUUCGUAGAUAUCGGGAGGAACACCAGUGGCGAAGGCGGCGAUCUGGGCAGAUACUGGACGCUGAUGUGCGAAAGCGUGGGGAGCAAACGGG
rnacentral:rRNA from 1 species